UCCGAGUUGACCCCGGCAGUCUCCUACGAGUCCCCGGCAUUACCCGCUGGCAACUAGGGAUAGGGGUUGCGCUCGUUGCGCCACUUAAGGCAACACCUCACGACACGAGCUGACGACAGCCAUGCAGCACCUGUGCACGCGUCCCGAAGGAGGGCCCUGCUUUCACCCGCUUUACCGUGCAUGUCAAGCCCAGGUAAGGUUCUUCGCGUUGCAUCGAAUUAAGCCACAUGCUCCGCCGCUUGUGCGGGUCCCCGUCAAUUCCUUUGAGUUUUAGCCUUGCGGCCGUACUCCCCAGGCGGGGCGCUUAAUGCGUUAGCUACGGCACGGAUCCCGUGGAAGGAAACCCACACCUAGCGCCCACCGUUUACGGCGUGGACUAC
rnacentral:misc_RNA from 1 species